GACCAGGGCGGGCCGGGACAAAGCCUGGGCCGGGCCUGCGCUUCCGUUCGCUUGACUGGCUGCGCUUGUUUUCAGGGUUUUGGUCUGAAAACGGAUCUUACCUGCGCAGAGCAAAAUCGGUUGUAGAUUAUAUCCACGAAAAUUCCUUCUAUUAAAAUGAAUUUCAAGUCCCACCUACCCUGGAAGCAGAAAGAGAGAGAAGAGAGAGAGUAAAGAGAAAGAGAAAAGAAAGAGAAGUUGAAAAAGAGAAAGAAAACCAAGAAAGAAAGAGAAAAAAACCGAAAAUAAAUGGACAAGAAAGAAAAACGGUGAAGGUCAACCCUGUGCUCAAUUCCAGAGACUUUCCUAGGGACAUCGUGUUGGGCAUGGAGGACUAAGAGAUGUAGUCUGGUUUUGUUGCCCAGGCUGGUCUCCAGCUUCUAGCCUCAAGCAGUCUUCCCAUCUGCUCCUACCAAAGUGCUCGGAUUAUAGGCAUGAAUCACCUUGCAUGGGAGAUAAGGACCCCCACAUCAAGCCCUCAGGUCACUGGGAUCCUGGACUACGGCACUGCUCCAGGCAGGCCUGGUUAUCCUGCUUGAGGCAGCAAUCCUCUUGAGCCUAGUGAAAUGCAACUGGCUGUACCUCAAUGAUGUUGCCCUGAGAUUCUGCCAGUCGAGGUAUUACUUCAAUCUCCUGAGACCAGCCUCUACCUCCAGAUCCAGGGAGGCCAACGUGCCAUGCAUCCCUGGAGCAUGAAACCCAGGAUGGGCCGCCUUCCAGCCUCCCACAGCUGUGAUGCAAGUUGAACACAUACAGAGAGACUGCAUCUGCACUGGGUGGUUUUCCUGAGCCUUGGGGAGCAGAAUGCAUGAAUCCCAGGUAUCUGCCGAUCUGUAUGUAACAAAUUCACUUCAUGUAACUUACUGUGUGUCCGUGAGAUUAUCUCUCAC
rnacentral:lncRNA from 1 species